GUGGCUGUAGCUCAGCCUGGUUUAGAGCAUCUGACUGUGGCUCAGAGGGUCGCGGGUUCAAAUCCCGUCAGCCACCCCA
rnacentral:tRNA from 1 species